GAUUCAGAGAAAUAUUUAAGCCCGGAUGUCAAACAUCAAACCCUUAUAAAAUGGUGAGGCAUGUAACACCAAGUGUUAGUUUUUCAUUUAGCUGGGAUGCCCCAUGGGUAUGGUCGUUGAUCUGAAGUCAUUCCUACGUAAGUCCUAAAAAAAGCAUACUUUAGCAUAAGUAAAACAAGUGCAAAUGUCUUUUUCCAACUUUGGCGCCAU
rnacentral:lncRNA from 1 species